AACCCAUCUACCCGCACGACCCACGACCCCCAAUCCCAUCGGCACCUCCAGCGCACCGCCGCCCCCUACCACGCUGUCGCACGCCGCCUCGCCGUCACGCCGCCGGACUCCUCCUCGCUGUCGCACCGCCGGAACCCACCCCAUCGUCGCAAAAGGGUGGCUCUGGAGCACGAGCCAGCACAGACGAGGCCGGGACCAGAAGCAGAAUGCGAAAGCUGGGGCGUCGCACGACACCAUGCGGCGUUCGUGUCCCUCACAGUCGCCUCGCUCCUCCAUGGCCUGCCUGCGAGAGCCCAUGCUGGAGGAUGACCCUUACCAUGACGCAGAGUCUAGCCGACGGGAUCCGACAUGGUAGUCUUCUCCAAGGAGCGGUGGUCGAUGCCGACGAGCAGAGGCCCAUGGUCACGAGUCCUCCUCCGAUUGCUAUCCUCCACAUCCCUGAUGAAUAGGAUACAGAGAAGCACAGUGCAUUCUUCCUCCCUUAUGCCUAUGCGUAUUAUGAAUAGAUGAUGUGAUUGCUUUGUUAUUUCAUUCAAUUAAUGGCAAAAUUGAUGAGGUAAUUGGAAGAAUCGAGCAGCAAUUUUAUUACAGAACUCGCCAUUGAUUUGGUCAUCUCUGUCACUAGCAAGUUGCAUAAGAAAGAUUGUGGCGUUGCAGAGGCGUGAAUGAAAAAGUUAGUCUGGGGGACAGUUAUAGUGAUCCCUCAAUUAUAGAGCGGAUCCAGAUGAAAUUUCCUGUGCAUAGAAAGUCAUAUUACUCUAAUUUGGAGCAUCAACUACUCAGUCCUUGAAACAAAGAAAUGGUGUGAUGACAAGGGCUGAUUGUUGUUUAAUCUCAGUUGAAUCAUCUUUCUUGAUAGGUAGUCUAAGACAAAUUACCCUAUUGCCUGGAGGUAAAGCAGUCUACUAUGGCUUGACCAAAGCAGAGUGGCCUUACAGUUUCAGCUCGCACCAUGGUUCUUGGGAAGCACUGGGGAGACAGCAAGCUGACAUAGUGCCAUUAAGAUUUCUUUUUAUCAGUUUGUAAUCUAUGUCUUCGGAUCAUUUUGUUUUUACAUGAAAAUCAUAUACAUAGCAGUAAAGUUUAUAGUUAAAGCAUAAUUUUGAUGCAAGUCUAUGGUAGCCAUCGUCAUUCAGCCAACGAAGAGCUACACUACCUGAAGCCGCUCGAUUGAUAACAUAUAUGAUCAAAUUCAUUGCCUAGCUGCACUAGCAUGGCCUUAGCGACGGCGCUGGAGCUACCACUGCUUGCGCCUCUCGCCAUGCCAGCCGUGAUGUUCUACAUGCUGAUCAACGUGAUGUUGUCAACCAUCCAGAUUUUCUACAGUUAGCUCAGCAACUUCCACGCCCCACCGCCUUUCUUGUCAGCCACGACACCCAGGUUUUCGUCUAUGCCUCAUUGGAUGCAUUUACAUCGUAUAUAAUGUUAGAUAUACACAAUCAUAGGUACAUAUAGGAUCUUCCACCUCGGCUCAUGUACUGAUAUGAUUUGUGUUGAUACAUGAUUCUCAACAAACUAUACUACCAAACUUUUUCACGAAAUGUGUAGUACCAGUUGGUGUGAUAUCAUGUCCUCAGCAAUGCCCUCUAUGGAACGACCAUGACCAUGUUGUUGCCUGGACUCCUUUUUCAUGAUGAUGUCGCUCUUCGUCAUCCCAUAGUUUAUGCGGUGGAGCGUCAAAGACCUCAGCGUGUUAUAGGAGAAGACCAUGAAGAUCAGCAAGAAAGAUGUUGAUCAAGGAAGGUUCGACACUGUGAUGUGAGUUGAAACACAAGCAUGGCCUGCAAUCGACGCCCACCAUACUUGUGCCUCACAAGCAGCAAUUUUUCACAUUCUUGAUGAUAUUUGUCGGUGCCCUCUUCUCAUCUAUCCCGACAAUCUCGGUAUCCAGGCAAGAUUUCAGACGAUAACCUGAAUGUAGGCAUUGAACACAACAAGGUCAGGAUAUGAUAAUGGCCCAAGGUCGUGCCGACAAAUCUGAAAAUACUGUGGAACAAAAUAAUAAUCUGGCAAUGUCCCAAGAGAGCUGUUUGUUCUUGGAUUUUUAUACCCUCAUGUUAAUACUUAGCUGCUACAAUUUUUAUUGUUCUUCUCAUUAUAUGUACCUAAUAAUGAUUUAGUUCAUUUCUGGAUUAUUGGACUAAAUUACG